CGUCCUGGCGCAGGCUGCAUUUUCCCGCGCGCAGGAAAGUUGGUGAGGAAGAACCUGGAAGCAACAUGGAUUGUGCCUUCUUGUUCACCUUCCUCCGUCUUGUCCUUUCUCCCUCACCCAAACACUCACAUUCUAGUGGAAGGCAACAGAAAAAACAUAUGGUAUUUCAGAGGCCGACAAGUGCUGUAAAGAAAAAUAGAGCAAGAAGCAGUGAGGCAGAGAUGCUGCUACUGAAGAAGAUACCAGCUAAUGUCAGUAAUGAAAUCCCCCAAGGAGGCAGGAGUCUCUGUGUCUUUUGUGUUCUGGGAGUGGCUCUUGCUUCGGAGGGAAGAAAGAAAAUCUGUUGAGACAGACUCCGAUUCUCCUGCUGAGGGAGGCCCCGCUGUGGUUGCAUCAGGGUCCAGGUCUCUCCCUGAAGAAGACACUCAACUGAAUUUUCAAAAUUAGGGCCACAACUCCCCACCUUGGGUUUAACAUGAAAGAAUGGGAGGGCUUAGAAGUUGGACAGGGACACAAAAGGAAGAGACUGGAAAAGAAGGCAAGCCAUGAGAGUUCAGCCAUGGCCAAAUUGCCCAUCUGUCCAGAAUUUCUCCCCUGAGCACUUGCCCUCUCGUCCCGAGAGGCAGCAUUUGGCCUCCCUGCCUCUUAUCCUACUCCUGAGAAGAAACAUCUCCUGGAAAGAAUAAAAAUGCUGGAAGGAGAAGGAGCAGAAGAAAGAACGUCUCCUGGAAAGGAAGAAAAUGCUGGAAGGAAGGAGCAGAUGAAGGAACAGGGCCUGCAGAGUGGGCAGCCGGUGUUGUCCACCCAAGUUGACUUAGGAGGACAGCAAUGUGACACAGGUCGGCCAGCACUGGCCUAGGAGCCAGAGGCCUCCAUUCUUGUCUUUGUGUGGCCUGGAACAAGUCACUGUCCUCUCCACUGCCCUCCAAGGCAUCAGCUGAGACAACCUCUGGGUGUCCUUUCAGACUCUGAAAUCUUACCACCUCUUCUACCAUCAUCAUUUGCCAUGAGAGGUGCAUGAGAGAUACCUUUCUCCCAAGAAACGUUCAUACCCUGGCAGCCUCCUUCACGGAAUCGACUAUUUUGGGUCUGCAGCGUCUCCCCUCCUCUCCUGACCCUCCUCUCAGUCACACAGUCCUCUGAGGUUUUCAUCAGUGUUGAUUAGAGAUAACAGAUGGACUACAUGGACGCGCAGGUUCAUUCCAUUGACGUUCACCACGAGCCUUCCACUGCUGCGGUUGCAAGAUGACUUCCACUGUUGACUAAAUGCACCUGGCGUGUUCAUAGCCUCAAAGCCUCUGCCAGCGUCUUUCUCAUCCCACUGAAGACUCAGCCCUCGGGAAGGGACCGCAGGCUAAGCCGAGCCGAGCCUGUGCCCGAGCCUUUGGCACGUUCAGGAGCCACCAUGGGACUGGGGGUUCCCUUUCCACCAGGAGGCUGGGAAAGUAUGAUCGGAGUCCAUCUUCCAGAUCUCUGGGAAAAGAAAGUCAGCUUGAAAACGUCAAACGCCUGGCUCAGUUAGACCUUUCUCCAGGUUGUCAUUUACUUAGAAAAGGAGCACUAUUCAAGCCUUAAAUGUCAGCUUCUUGCCUCUAAAACUGUGGGAUCAGGUAAACCCCUGAGCAUUUCAGCCUGUACGCCUGCACCAAGGGCUGGGCUCCCUGGCUCUCAGUGGAGGGCAGCAGACGCUGCCCAGGAAGCAGCCCCAGGGAAAUGUCCACUAGGUACCAGAGAUUUUGGGAUUUUGGUCUGUCUGUGAGUUUCAUGCACCUCAUUCCUGAGGGCGGUUCCUAAAUCUUUACCCUAAUAUAUUUGAAAGAUGACAACUCUUUAAAAACACGACUAGACCUGAACUUUAAGUCCCAAGCUUGGAUCCCUUUACCUGGCAGCUCGUCCUACAUCCAGCCAGCCGCCUUCUAUGAGCUAAUCCCCGUCUUGGCUCCUGCCUGUGAACUGCCUUCCUCAUCCCUGUGAGGCACCAUAUGCUUCAUGAUAUCCUCUAAAGAGGACGAAUCUCCCUUAGCUGUUCUCUAACUUUUGGAAUGUACUGUCCCCUCUACAGUGUUAAAAAAACAAAACAAAAGAAAACAAAACAAAUUAAGUUCUAAUGUAGCUGGAGAGCUAAUGGACCUCUCUUUCCCAGGAAAAGGAAAACAAAGAUUCCAACCAUUCCCAGCUCCUGAAAAAUCCUGCUGAGAGAUGAUCAGCCUCAUUCCGGGCUAACUGCUAACAAGCUUGAAUUCGGCUAUUCAGGGACUGUCCUUUGUUCACUUCUCUGCUACCUGAAUUGUCUUCCCUCUCUGCCUUCAGACACACUGAACCAGAAGUUCAGGUCGGGGACAAGAGACGGCAAAAUGCACCCUCAAUGGAGAGAAUGAAGAGAGAAUCAUGACCAGCUCCCACGUUGCAACAGCCUUAGCUCCACCAGAAACAUGCCAAACUGGAGACUGGUUUGUCAUGGGGAUUGACAAAAUGCUGAUCAAACUCACAAGAGAUGGCAAGAUUAUUCAAUAUAGACGCUAGAUUGUUAGCAUUUGAAAGAGUCGCUGGCAUUAUAGAGGGGACCACGAGCCAAGAGAAGCGACUUUCUCCAUGUCACACACUAAUUAAUGCCAACGGUAGAAUGAGAACCCAGAAACCCUAACUCUCAAAUAAGUACUUUUUCUACUACCCUUUGCUGUCAAAUCUCAAUGAGAACUAGAAUAUGUGUAUAAGAUUUUCAAUAUAUUCUUUUUUCAGAAAAGAAGGCUACUUGGGGAAAUAACGUCCUUAAUAGAAAGUUUUUGGAAUGUGCAGAGGGCCAGUCCAGGGUAUGUGCUGGAGAGAAAUAGAUGAAGCUAAAGUCAGAGUUGCACGGAGCCAUGCUGGAAAAUCAACCCAGAGAGACACUCUGCUCCCCAUAGUGGGAGUAAGGAAGACUGGAACAGCUGGGACAGUCAAUAGCUGUAUGGAUGGUCAAUGAAGGAAGGAAGUGGGGCUCCAAGAGGAACCUAUGCCCCUGAAUUAGACGUGGAACUAUUCUGAGAAAGGACAGAGAAACCAACAGAGGGAAAAGUUAAUCCCUGCUUAACUGUCCUUUGUUUCUGGACACAAGCUGAAGCAAAUCCUGAACAACAGAGCUUCGAAGCAAGAUUACCAAAAGGCGCAGUCACCCACUCAUGGGCCAUCUGAGGCUGGACUGGAGCAGUUCUAGAGGCCCACACAGAGGACUAGCAGACACAAGGAUACGGCGCCGGCACGCCCACCGCUGAGGAAGCAGCAAAAGAAACCAAAGCAAUGUCCUGACUAAUACGCAGUCUGAGGGAACAGCAAAGUGCUCCUGCAAAUCUUCUUAACUGCAUUUCAUCUUCCCAAGAACCCAGGUUAAGAGCCGGAACUUUCCGGUAGAAAGCAGAUCUCCUUUGGAAGAGGACUGCUGAGACUCUUGCUUGACUUCGAGUUUCCCGAGCGAGACACUCCGAAGAGCUCUGAAUCAGACACAGAGGCUACAGGGAUCAGGCUCCUGUGUCAGAACAGUUCAUCUCCAUCACAGCUGAGCAGGGAACCGUGCAGGCUGAACAGAAGAAUCGCCACAGAGGCUUCGGCCAACUGUAAAAAGAACAUUUCAAGCAAGUCAGAAAUUCUCCCAGGUGUCUUGUAAUCAAGAAGAAAAAGAGAGGCAAGAGAAAAAUAGAAACUGUCAGAAAGAGUGGCUGGCGAUGGUACGCAGAACGGGUUCUUACUGACAUUUCAGCCCUUCAAUCUAAUGAGCUCAUCUCUCUUUGUUCAGUAAAAAGUGGAUGAUUAGGGAAGGACAAAGAGCCUGGAAGAGAGGAAUGAUUUUGUCUGCUUUUGGCAGAGACAGUGAAUGGUCUCUUGGCUGCUCCAGUGGCCAGGCUAUUAUAAAAAAGUAGGUAAAGAUUUUCUCAUGAAGAAUGAUUGAAUAGGACUAUGGUGGGGCAGGGGUCUCCUGUCUAUAGCAAAGAUCUUAUGGGGACAAUGACCACAGCAUCUUUUAUGUGGACCUGUAUGAGUAACACAUCAUUCCAAAACAUAGUGACUUACAACAACAGUCAUUUAUUUAGAUCUCAGUUCUGUGGGCUGGCUGGGUAGGUCUUCUGGUCUGGGCCAGCUUGGCUGAGUUCUGCUGGGCUCUCAUGCACCUGUGGUCAGCUGGCAGGUCGGUUGGCAGCUGAAUGAUUGAGGAUGGCCCCAUUCAUGUCUGGCCGCUAGCAGGCUGUUAGCAAGAGUUAUGGGCUGGCCGGUUACAUGUCUCUCAUCAGCCAGCAGAGGCUAGCACAGGUUUGUUCAUGCAGCAGCAGAUUCCCAAGAGCAGCAAGGGAGGAAGCUUCAAAGCCCCUUGAGGCCUAGGCUGGGAACCUGUACACUGUCACUUCUAAUGCACUCUGUUGAUCAAGGAAGGCACGGGCCAAGUGGGUGAUCAGCUAUCCCGGUUUUCCCAGAACUGAGGGGUUUCCCAAGAUGCAAGAGUUUCAAUACAAAAACCGAUAAAGCUCUGGACAAACCAGGAUGGUUGGUCACUCUAGUGCCUCAGAUUCCCCAAGGAGUGGGGAACUAACAAACCUCCCAAGAAGGUAUAUAAAUGGCCACUAGUGCACGAAAGUCUCAACAUCACUAAUUGUUAGGGAAAUGCAAAUCAAAAUCUCACUCACUAGGAUAGCUAUUAUAAACAACAACAGGCCAGGCACAGUGGCUCAUGCCUGUAAUCCCAGCACUUGGGGAGGC